GACGAACCGUGCAAACGUUAUUCGGAAUUACUGGGCGUAAAGCGCGUGUAGGCGGUCUGGCAAGUCAGAUGUGAAAGCCCCGGGCUCAACUUGGGAACUGCAUUUGAUACUGCCAAGCUAGAGUACAGAAGAGGUGACUGGAAUUCCCAGUGUAGCGGUGAAAUACGUAGAUAUUGGGAGGAACACCAGAUGCGAAGGCGGGUCACUGGGCUGAUACUGACGCUAAAGCGCGAAAGCCAGGGGAGCGAACGGG
rnacentral:rRNA from 1 species